UCCAUAGACUCGCAGCUGCUCCUGACAUCCCUCGGAGGAGUCCUGUUCCUGAGGGAGCAGGAACAAUUGGGAGAGCUUCUAUGAAGCCUGCCAAAACCUGCCCUCCAGAUGGGAGGAUUAAAUGAUGCCAGUAAACAGGACUUUCAUUGCCCUCCUUGUGAAAUUAUCUACCUGCUGACUCUGAUGUGUGUGUCUCCACACCUCAGUAGCUUUACUGUCCGUAAGCAUCAAUCCAUCAUCCUGUGAGGUGUGCUGUUUGGCUGUCAGCAUCUUCAGGAUGGGCAAAUGGACACUCUGAGAAGUGAACACGAAGGCCUCACAAUGAGAUGGCACAGCUACAGAUCAAAGUGGCCUGGCUUCAUUGAGAUACCACGUGAAUGACACUGUCCUGAAGAGUCACCCAGAUCACAGAGGAUUUAAUAUGAAAGACUACUGUGGUUCCCUACAUACAUCUGUCCAUCCCUCUCCAGGACCAGCUUUGGUUACUGAAGGUAUUGGAAGAGGUAGCCUUUAACAGACUAUGAAUGCUCCCAUCUGCUUGCCUAACAGUGAUAAUCAAGACUCCAGGAUGGAAGCCAGGAGACCCACCAAAUUUGAGAAGGGGCUUAACCCAUUCCUAUGGGGUAUCUGCUUCUUAAUAAAUGAUUUUUCAUUCUGCUUCACUGGUCGCUAGCAACCCUUAUUUUUAUCUGGAAAAUUAAUGCAUUCUUUAUG